rnacentral:rRNA from 1 species
GACGAACGCUGGCGGCGUGCUUAACACAUGCAAGUCGAACGGAAAGGCCCUGCUUUUGUGGGGUGCUCGAGUGGCGAACGGGUGAGUAACACGUGAGUAACCUGCCCUUGACUUUGGGAUAACUUCAGGAAACUGGGGCUAAUACCGGAUAGGAGCUCCUGCUGCAUGGUGGGGGUUGGAAAGUUUCGGCGGUUGGGGAUGGACUCGCGGCUUAUCAGCUUGUUGGUGGGGUAGUGGCUUACCAAGGCUUUGACGGGUAGCCGGCCUGAGAGGGUGACCGGCCAAAUGGGGACGGAGAUACGGCCCAGACUCCUACGGAGGCAGCAGUGGGGAAUAUUGCACAAUGGGCGGAAGCCUGAUGCAGCAACGCCGCGUGCGGGAUGACGGCCUUCGGGUUGUAAACCGCUUUCGCCUGUGACGAAGCGUGAGUGACGGUAAUGGGUAAAGAAGCACCGGCUAACUACGUG